rnacentral:miRNA from 1 species
UCAUGAUGAUGAUGGUGAUGAUGAUAAUGAUGAUGAUGAUGGUGAUAAUCAUUUUCCUCUUCAUCAUCUAUA